UGUCUGUUUUGAUCUUGUAUUUGCGAAUCGGGUCAGGUGGAGGAAUCCAAGCAGCCCUAAACAAAUGUUAAGAUGCUUAGCAGGUCGCA
rnacentral:SRP_RNA from 1 species